rnacentral:rRNA from 1 species
CCUACGGGUGGCAGCAGUGGGGAAUAUUGGGCAAUGGACGCAAGUCUGACCCAGCAACGCCGCGUGAAGGAAGAAGGCUUUCGGGUUGUAAACUUCUUUUAAGGGGGAAGAGCAGAAGACGGUACCCCUUGAAUAAGCCACGGCUAACUACGUGCCAGCAGCCGCGGUAAUACGUAGGUGGCAAGCGUUGUCCGGAUUUACUGGGUGUAAAGGGCGUGCAGCCGGAGAGACAAGUCAGUUGUGAAAUACACGGGCUCAACCCGUGAACUGCAUUUGAUACUGUUUCCCUUGAGAGUCGGAGAGGUAAUCGGAAUGUGUAGUGUAGCGGUGAAAUGCGUAGAUAUAAGGCAGAACACCAGUGGCGAAGGCAGAUUACUGGACGAUAACUGACGGUGAGGCGCGAAAGCGUGGGGAGCGAACAGGAUUAGAUACCCGUGUAGUC